CGUAACAAGGUCUCCGUAGGUGAACCUGCGGAGGGAUCAUUACAAGAACGCCCGGGCUUCGGCCUGGUUAUUCAUAACCCUUUGUUGUCCGACUCUGUUGCCUCCGGGGCGACCCUGCCUUCGGGCGGGGGCUCCGGGUGGACACUUCAAACUCUUGCGUAACUUUGCAGUCUGAGUAAACUUAAUUAAUAAAUUAAAACUUUUAACAACAGAUCUCUUGGUUCUGGCAUCGAUGAAGAACGCAGCGAAAUGCGAUAAGUAAUGUGAAUUGCAGAAUUCAGUGAAUCAUCGAAUCUUUGAACGCACAUUGCGCCCCCUGGUAUUCCGGGGGGCAUGCCUGUUCGAGCGUCAUUUCACCACUCAAGCCUCGCUUGGUAUUGGGCAACGCGGUCCGCCGCGUGCCUCAAAUCGUCCGGCUGGGUCUUCUGUCCCCUAAGCGUUGUGGAAACUAUUCGCUAAAGGGUGUUCGGGAGGCUACGCCGUAAAACAACCCCAUUUCUAAGGUUGACCUCGGAUCAGGUAGGGAUACCCGCUGAACUUAAGCAUAUCA
rnacentral:rRNA from 1 species